rnacentral:rRNA from 1 species
CGAGAGGACCGGGAUGGACGUACCUCUGGUGUACCAGUUGUCCUGCCAAGGGCAUGGCUGGGUAGCUAUGUACGGAAUGGAGAAGCGCUGAAAGCAUCUAAGCGCGAAGCCAACUUCAAGAUAAGAUGUCCCACCGCAAGGGUAAGACCCCAGAAAGACUAUCUGGUUGAUAGGUCGAAGGUGUAAGUGCAGCAAUGUAUUUAGCUUAUCGAUACUAAUAGGUCGAGGACUUGACCAAU